rnacentral:rRNA from 1 species
GAUUCCUACGGGAGGCAGCAGUGGGGAAUUUUGGACAAUGGGCGCAAGCCUGAUCCAGCCAUGCCGCGUGAGUGAUGAAGGCCUUAGGGUUGUAAAGCUCUUUCACCGGGGAAGAUAAUGACGGUACCCGGAGAAGAAGCCCCGGCUAACUUCGUGCCAGCAGCCGCGGUAAUAAUC